UGGGGAAUAUUGGACAAUGGGCGCAAGCCUGAUCCAGCCAUGCCGCGUGUGUGAAGAAGGCCUUCGGGUUGUAAAGCACUUUUGUUGGGAAAGAAAUCCUGUCGAUUAAUACUCGGCGGGGAUGACAGUACCCAAAGAAUAAGCACCGGCUAACUUCGUGCCAGCAGCCGCGGUAAUACGAAGGGUGCAAGCGUUACUCGGAAUUACUGGGCGUAAAGCGUGCGUAGGCGGUUCGUUAAGUCUGUCGUGAAAGCCCUGGGCUCAACCUGGGAAUUGCGAUGGAUACUGGCGAGCUAGAGUACGGUAGAGGAUGGUGGAAUUCCCGGUGUAGCGGUGAAAUGCGUAGAGAUCGGGAGGAACACCCGUGGCGAAGGCGGCCAUCUGGACCAGUACUGACGCUGAGGCUCGAAAGUGCGGGGAUCAAACA
rnacentral:rRNA from 1 species